rnacentral:rRNA from 1 species
CAGUAGCCACGGGAAUACGAAGGGUGCAAGCGUUAAUCGGAAUUACUGGGCGUAAAGCGUGCGUAGGCGGUUCGUUAAGUCUGUUGUGAAAGCCCCGGGCUCAACCUGGGAAUGGCAAUGGAUACUGGCGAGCUAGAGUGUGUCAGAGGAUGGUGGAAUUCCCGGUGUAGCGGUGAAAUGCGUAGAGAUCGGGAGGAACAUCAGUGGCGAAGGCGGCCAUCUGGGACAACACUGACGCUGAGGCACGAAAGCGUGGGGAGCAAACAGGAUUAGAUACCCCGGUAGUCCCUGUCUCUUAUAC